UCAAAUAUGAAAUGGUGAGACUUGCAGGUUCAUCUCUGUGUGAUGCUGAUGAGGAUGUAGUCUACAGGAUGAGAGUUUGACACAAAUAUUGGUGACUUUU